rnacentral:tRNA from 1 species
GCCUUCGUGGUGUAGUGGUCAGCACGCUCGACGCAUAACCGAGAGGUCCGUGGUUCGAUUCCUGGUGAAGGCG